GAUGAACGCUGGCGGCGUGCCUAAUACAUGCAAGUCGAGCGAACAGACGAGGAGCUUGCUCCUCUGACGUUAGCGGCGGACGGGUGAGUAACACGUGGAUAACCUACCUAUAAGACUGGGAUAACUUCGGGAAACCGGAGCUAAUACCGGAUAAUAUAUUUAACCGCAUGGUUCAAUAGUGAAAGACGGUCUUGCUGUCACUUAUAGAUGGCUCCGCGCCGCAUUAGCUAGUUGGUAAGGUAACGGCUUACCAAGGCAACGAUGCGUAGCCGACCUGAGAGGGUGAUCGGCCACACUGGAACUGAGACACGGUCCAGACUCCUACGGGAGGCAGCAGUAGGGAAUCUUCCGCAAUGGGCGAAAGCCUGACGGAGCAACGCCGCGUGAGUGAUGAAGGUCUUCGGAUCGUAAAACUCUGUUAUUAGGGAAGAACAAAUGUGUAAGUAACUAUGCACGUCUUGACGGUACCUAAUCAGAAAGCCACGGCUAACUACGUGCCAGCCGCCGCCGUAA
rnacentral:rRNA from 1 species